AUUGAACGCUGGCGGCAGGCCUAACACAUGCAAGUCGAGCGGGGUUUUCGGACCUAGCGGCGGACGGGUGAGUAAUGCGUAGGAAGCUGCCCGAUAGAGGGGGAUACCAGUUGGAAACGACUGUUAAUACCGCAUAAUGUCUACGGACCAAAGUGUGGGACCUUCGGGCCACAUGCUAUCGGAUGCGCCUACGUGGGAUUAGCUAGUUGGUGAGGUAAUGGCUCACCAAGGCGACGAUCGCUAGCUGGUUUGAGAGGAUGAUCAGCCACACUGGAACUGAGACACGGUCCAGACUCCUACGGGAGGCAGCAGUGGGGAAUAUUGGACAAUGGGCGCAAGCCUGAUCCAGCCAUGCCGCGUGUGUGAAGAAGGCCUUCGGGUUGUAAAGCACUUUCAGCGAGGAGGAAGGGUGGUGUGUUAAUAGCACAUCAUUUUGACGUUACUCGCAGAAGAAGCACCGGCUAACUCUGUGCCAGCAGCCGCCGUAAUAC
rnacentral:rRNA from 1 species